UACGUAGGUGACCAGCGUUGUCCGGAUUCACUGGGCGUAAAGAGCGCGCAGGCGGUCGUUCAAGUCGAGUGUGAAAGCCCCCGGCUCAACUGGGGAGGGUCACUCGAUACUGAUCGACUUGAAGGCAGGAGAGGGAAGCGGAAUUCCCGGUGUAGUGGUGAAAUGCGUAGAUAUCGGGAGGAACACCAGUGGCGAAGGCGGCUUCCUGGCCUGUUCUUGACGCUGAGGCGCGAAAGCUAGGGGAGCAAACGGG
rnacentral:rRNA from 1 species